GAGGGUAUAGCCCAGUGGUAGAGCGCAUGCUUAGCAUGCAUGAGGUCCCGAGUUCAAUUCCCCAGUACCUCUA
rnacentral:tRNA from 1 species